GUCAAUGGCCACACCAUCCUGAACACACCCCAUCUUGCCUGAUCCCGGAAGCUAAGCAGGGUCAGGCCUGGCUAGUACUUGGAUGGGAGAAAAGAAGGCUAUGUUCUGUGACA
rnacentral:rRNA from 1 species